UCCUCUCUCCUUUCAGGCUACUAGAACUAUUCAGGCGACGGCAAUAAUCUCCACGAUGAAGCUGCAUCAUGCUCCGCUUGUCUCGGCUUUGCUUGUGUGCGUCCUUUUGUUCCCGCAGGCCAUGUCGUAUUACGGUUUUGACUACUCAACGACAUCAUCUAGCUCCUGGUCCUAUACGUAUGGCACCUGGCCGUCUAGCUCCUGCCGUCCGGCUCCUGGCGACCUCGUCACCAUUGGCUCCUCCCUCUACGGUGGAAACAUACCAGGCCUUCGGAGCUGGAGUGGAGGAGCAGUUGAACGUAGAGCUGAGUGUAACACCGUCAGUCGUUGCCGCGGGAGUGCCGCCGUCACUCCUCGAGGUCGUUCAACACGAAGCCAGACCCCGCUUCGUGACGAGUCCCACCUUCAGUUCCUUCUUCAUGGCGUUUGGGAUCACGGUCCCUGAGGGGGAGGCCAAACUGAUCGUCGGCCUGUCAGACACAUCCUGUUGCAAAGCAAUGUGCUGGUCCUCUUUGUGGUGCGUAGCUGCCUCUAGGGUCGUCGAGUCUAACGGAUCGGUGGCCUGUUACCUUGCGGACCACUUGCCGGCCACCAAAACUUCUGAACCCUCUACUGUUUAUUACCUCUUCUAUGAAAGAAUGAUGGACAAGAUAGACGUCUACACCAUCAAAGAGAGCAACGAGAUCUAUGCCGUGUCACAGGCGACUCUUCCGUUCACGCAGGCGAAUGGCUUCUGCGACUCUCUCCCAGGAUUUCGACUGGCCAUUUUCAUUACCAAGCCGGAGGUUGAAGUUCUUCUGAAGUUGUUGAAAGUAUUAGGAGCUGACUUGAUUGUAGGACUCGUGCGAGGACCGGACUUCCCAGACGACCACUGGGCAGAUGGGACCUUGUUCCAAGACUCUUAUUUGUACUACCACAACAGCAAGACCUAUGAAGUUAGCGGCACAUUUAAGAGCGAGCCCUACUAUCGCAUCAGGGGUGUCAACGACUCGAGA